CAGCCAUGGUGUGAAUGCGUCCCUUAGACAGGUUCCUUUUCAGGGUUGUUAAGUCCAUGGGUCUGCAGGAGCAAGAGGAAAUCAAACCUUGAUGAACUGAAGGCUGAGGCAGGAAGUUAUCACGAGUUUGAGGACAGCUUGAGCUACACAGCUUCAGAAAUGGACUGCUGAACCUGUUAAGAAAUAAACCCAAAGAGGAUAAAGAAACCCUGGCGGAUCACUCUAAAGGAGAAGGGUGGCUCAUAACAAGAAUACUUCAAACUACAGUGUAAAUGAGGGUUUCAUGUAGACCAGCUGGCUUUGAACUAGCUACGUAACUGAAGAUGACCCUGAACUCCUGAUUCUCCUUUCUCCAUAUUCCAGAACACUUGAGUUAUAGGCUGAUGCCACCAUGCUGGAAGUGGCGAUAUUUGAAGUAGAUACUUGCUGAACUUGAUGUACAUUCUCUUGAAUAUUUUCAGCUGCAGAAUAAAUAUAAAUUCACUGUUCCAAUCUGUUGGUCCUCAGCCCUUAACCAAGGUCUUCAGCCUCUGCAUCUGGAGCCUCAGUUUCCCUCCAGCUGCCCACAUCAAGGUCCAGACUGGAGUCCCAGGAGCUGAAGAGGGAUCUGUAGUCAUUGCUCAGCUCAGAGUCAUCGGGAUAGUCUUGUCCAGAAUCCAACCAAACCCACUCACACCCCAUCUGUAAACAUAUAGAAAAAUGCAUUAAAUUAACGCAAAUAAAAACAAAACAAAUUAAUUCAAAUAAACACUCUCAAUACACCCCUAUCUUUCAAGUUCAUAGAAAGAGUCCAGAAAUUUCUAUUCAUUAGGAGGCAUAAGAGCCAGCUAAAGGGAUACAUUAGAUGAAAUUUUUAUCUUUUGGAUUAA